CUUUAUUUUAAAAGUGUAGGACUUUCUAUAAGUUUCAGUUGCACACUUAAAGAGGUUAAUUAUAUGUUCUCCUCUGAAUCUUGCAAAUUUGCCCAGAUUGGAUAAGUUGUUGUAACUGAGCAAACUUUUUGUUGCAGAGUUUUCCCCUGGUGAUAAGAGGAAUUCAAAGGCUGCAUUAGGACCUCAUGAGAAAAACUGCCGUUGAAGAUGUGAGGAUAAAUGUCGUGCGUGAGAGCUUCAGGGUUGGUGUCCUGGGACGAAUCACCGGCCUUGGCCAUCUCUAGAAACUCUGCAUCCUGCCAUCAGUUCUCUCGGGAGGCAGCAGUAGUCUGAAAGGUUGCAUCUGCCAUCUUCAGUGCCAGAGGAGGCUGCGCCCACCCCGGCGGAGUUCCCACCAUCCUCCGCGCCAGAGGGUCUUCUCGGCCACGCCCUCCCCUGCUGGCACCACUGCCGCCAUCUUCAGCGCUAGAAAGGUAGCCGGGCGGGCACUCCCGAACCCCACCCCCCCAGCCUUCUCCCUUGCGCUUUUAGACCUCCUGAUUGUACCAGUCUUUGGACCUACUCUGUAGAGGCAGAGGUGGUCAUAAAGAGUAUUUUCUGUUACUUUCAACUUUGAACAUCUUUAAAGAAAUGGUGGGGUAAACUUAUAUUAGAACUGAGUUCAACCCUUUAGGAGGCCGGGGAACUCAGUCUGGGCCUUGCAGCCGGAGCUCAGUCUGCUUUGUGGGGUUCUACCACCAGCUAGCUGAGGUCAGGGGACUCGGCUCUGCAAAUGGCAGCACAUAUUGUAUAUUAUGACAGCAGUGAUAUAGUCUGAAAGAGGCCCUUUAAACUCAUUUUUCUUCCUUUCUUUUUUUCAUCCUAUUCUGCAAAUUCUUUUUUUUUGUUUUGUUUUCUUUCUCUCACUCAGUCUCUUAC
rnacentral:lncRNA from 1 species